AUGACUUCUUUUGGCUUCUGCUACUUGGAUCUUCCAAUAUUAGCUGAAAGAGGGGGUCUGAGAGAAGAGAUAGAAGAGGACAGAAGGUCACACUGGGCCUGGGGAGGCAGAGAGCCAGGCCGGAGGCCCGUCGGAAAUCACACCCUGCCGGCUAAUCCCACAGGUUUUCUGCCUUCAAGUCCGGAUGGGCAGCACGCCUCUGCUGACGAUUUGCACAGAGGACACCGUCUGAUGGAACUUGCCUCAGCCUCUUCCCUUUCCUGCCGCCGGCAGCCACUAGUUUUGCCCUGUUUCUUUGGAGUAGAGCCUCACCCAAGGAGCCAGAGAACUCACCAUGCCAGUUUCAGCGUCUGGAACCCUAGAGGUUGCAGCUGUGAGCUGAGAAGGCACGUCUUCUUUCUUUUUCAGGCAACAAUCUCCAUGCUUGGUGUUGCUCUCAUUCAGUGUGGGAUGGGGGAAAGGGGAGUCUGUAUGGAGGACCUAUCAUGGCUCACCAGGAGGAGGGGGGAACCAAGAUGCCCCUGAGUGAUCUUUAAAAAUCAUUUUACUGAAGCAUAAUACACAGAAAAGUGCACACAUCAUCAGCAUGCGGCCCGGUGGCUGUCCACACAUCAAACACAUGGACUUAACUAGCAUCCAGGUCAGGAAACAGGACGUCACCAGUCCGUCCUUAACCCCCAACCUCCUAUCCAGUUCCUUUCUCCGCAGUUGUGACCCAUGAUCUGUCUUCUGACAGCAUAGAUUAGUUUUGCCUGUUUUUGAACUUUACAUAAAGGGAAUCACAGUAUUCUUUGUGUCUGCUUCCUUUGCUCACUGUUUUUGUGAGAUUCAUCUACCUGGUUGACUUUGUCAUUCUAAAUGUGGUGGAGUUGCCCCUGGUUUCUCCAUUUUGCUGUUCCUGGGCGUUUGGGUCGUCCGCAGUUGUCGGGUGUUAAGAAUGGUGCUGCUCUGAACAUUCUCUUUCCAGUCUUUGGUGAACAUUUACAUGGUUUUCUGUUGGAUAGUACCUAGAAAUGGGACUGAUUGCCUAAAAGGUAGGCGUACCUUCAGUUUCAGUACACACCGCGAUUUGUACCAAUUUACACUCGCAUCAGUACUAACUCCUAGUGUUGCUGCCUUUUAAUUUUAACCUUUCUGUGGGUGUGUGGUGGUGUAGCAUUGUGGUUUUAAUUUGCAUUUCCCUGAUGAUUAAUGAAGUAGAGCACCUUUGCAUAUGCUCACUGGCCAUUUUCUUUUCUGUGAAGUGCUAGUUCAAGUCCUCUGCCCAUUUUCCUAUUGGGUUGCCUGCAUUUUUCUUACUGGUUUCUAAGUAUUCUUAUAUAGUUUGGGUAUAGAUUCUUCGUCAGAUAUGGUCUUGUAUGCAGCUCCUUUCCUCCCCAUUCAUCCCUGUUACUCUCUGAUGCCAUCUCCUGCUGUUUUACCCAUUGAUCAUCCCUUUCCUGCCAUUGACUUCUUGUUCUUUGAACAUGCUCUGCCAGGCACACUCUCACUUUACACUAGUUUCCACUUCUGCCUGGAAUGUUCUUUCCCAGAAACUCACAUGGAUCUCUUCCCCAUCUCCUUCAAGUCUUCGCUCCACCGUCCCCUUCUUGGUGAAGCCUUCUCUGACUUACAUAUUUGGUCUCACAAUACCCUUCAUACAUUGUAUCUGCCACCUUUAUCCAAUCACUUUAAAAAACUUUCUACCAACAAACUUUUCAAACAUAAACAAAAUUAGAAUAGUAUAAAGGCUUUUCCUCAUGUAUCUAUUAUUCAGCAUCAAUAAUUAGCAUCAUUUUUACAAUCUUAUUUUGUCCAUAAAUACAUCAGUCUGCAUCUUUAAUAAAUAAGUACUUUUCUGGGGAGCAGUCACCACACCAUUAUCAAAUUCAAUAAAAUUAAUAGUAUCAUACAAUGUUAGCCCAUAAUCAAAUUUCUCAGUUGUCUCAGAAAUGUCUUAUUCUAGUUGAUAUGUUUGAAUUAAGGUCCAAAAUACGUACAUUGCUUUAAACUGUUUCCAUGGCAAUAUCACCAACCGAAGUACUAUACAUUUUACAUAUUUAUUUGCUCAUUGUCUAUUUCUCCCAACUGAACAUCAGCUUUAAGAGAGUAGGAUUUUUGUUUUCUUCUUUGCUAAUAUUAGCACCUUGUAGGCUUGAAUAAAUGUGGAAUGAACGAAUGAACAAAGUUGGCAGCAUGGGCUCAAUAGCCCAAAGAGUAUGCUUUGUCACCUUGGUCAGAUCUGUAACUUUCCAGCUCUAAAACUGGACAACUUCAUGAACUUCAAUUUUCUUAUCUGUGAAAUGGGCCCAAUACCAACUUCACAGAAUUGUUACGGCAAUUAGACAAAGUAUAUGUACAGGGUCUGGCACCCAGUAUGCUCUCAGUAAAGGUAUUACAUUAACUGUAACUGCCUUUAUAGGGCACAAGCAGGUGAUGGAUAUGUAUAAGGAAUUUGGCCUUGGCCAAAGAGGUCUGGCUUUUGUUCCUGGUUCCUGGGAGAUAAACUUUAAACCCUUUGGGAUUUCCCAAGGGUUAUUCAUGGAAGGCUGUGUACCCCACCCCUGAUAGAUUAUGCUGAGGUGACUCACAGUAGGCUGCUUAGGCCAGGUGUAAUGAACCUGACCUAAGUGGGGUGGGGUGGGAAUCUGAGCUCAUAUCUUAUGGGCAAUUAGUCACUCAUAUUUAUGUAAUAAGCUCCCAACAGAAAGUCUAGACACUGAAGCGUGGCUGAGCUUCCCUGGUUGGCCAGACUCUGUGCAUAUGGCCACACACUGAUAGCCAUACCAGGAAGGUAAUGCAUUCUGAGGACAAUGGAAGCUUCACACCUGGAACCUCUCAGACUCUACCCUAUGUGUCUCUUUUAUUGUAUAAUUUUGAUCUGUAUCUGUUCCCUCAAAUAAACUGUAACUAUGAAUGAGUU
ensembl:lincRNA